rnacentral:rRNA from 1 species
CCUACGGGUGGCAGCAGUGAGGAAUAUUGGACAAUGGGCGGGAGCCUGAACCAGCCAAGCCGCGUGAGGGAAGAAGGUACAGCGUAUCGUAAACCUCUUUUGUCAGGGAACAAAGGCGGGGACUAGUCCCAGGAUGAGGGUACCUGAAGAAAAAGCAUCGGCUAACUCCGUGCCAGCGGCCGCGGUAAUACGGAGGAUGCGGGCGUUAUCCGGUUUUAUUGGGUUGAAAGGGUGCGCAGGCGGACUUUUAAGUCCGAGUGAAAAGCCCGGGGCCAACCCCCGGCGAGCGGUUGAAACUGGAGGGCUGGAGUGGGAGAGAAGGACGUGGAAGUCGCGGUGUAGCGGUGAAAUGCUUAGAUAUCGCGCAGAACCCCGAUUGCGAAGGCAGCGUACCGGCUCCACACUGACGCUGAGGCACGAAAGCGUGGGUAUCGAACAGGAUUAGAUACCCCGGUAGUC